GAUGAACGCUGGCGGCGUGCCUAAUACGUGCAAGUCGAGCGAACGGACGAGAAUCUUGCUUCUCUGAUGUUAGCGGCGGAUGGGUGAGUAACACGUGGUUAACCUACCUAUAAGACUUGGAUAACUUCGGGAAACCGUAGCUAAUACCGGAUAAUAUUUUUAACCGCAUGGUUCAAAAGUGAAAGCCGUUCUUGCUGUCACUUAUAGAUGUCUCCGCGCUGCAUUAGCUAGUUGGUAAGGUAACGGCUUACCAAGGCAACGAUGCAUAGCCGACCUGAGAGGGUGAUCGGGCACACUGGAACUGAGACACGGUACAGACACCGAGAGGAGGCAGAAGUAGGGAAUCGUCCGAGAUGGGCGAAAGACUGAAGGAGCAACGCAGCGUGAGUGAUGAAGGGCUGCGGAUCGUAAAACGCUGUUAUGAGGGAAGAACACAUGUGUAAGUAACUGUGCACAUCGUGACGGUACCUAAUCAGAAAGCCACGGCUAACUACGUG
rnacentral:rRNA from 1 species